rnacentral:rRNA from 1 species
CCUACGGGAGGCAGCAGUGGGGGAUAUUGCACAAUGGGGGAAACCCUGAUGCAGCGACGCCGCGUGUGGGAAGACGGUCCUCUGGAUUGUAAACCACUGUCCCCAGGGACGAAGAUGACGGUACCUGGGGAGGAAGCUCCGGCUAACUACGUGCCAGCAGCCGCGGUAAUACGUAGGGAGCGAGCGUUGUCCGGAAUUACUGGGUGUAAAGGGAGCGUAGGCGGUGAUGCAAGUUGGGUGUAAAAACUACCGGCUCAACUGGUAGUCGCACUCAAAACUGCAGGUCUUGAGUGAAGUAGAGGCAGGCGGAAUUCCUGGUGUAGCGGUGAAAUGCGUAGAUAUCAGGAGGAACACCGGUGGCGAAGGCGGCCUGCUAGACUGCAACUGACGUUGAGGCCCGAAAGCGUGGGGAGCAAACAGGAUUAGAUACCCGAGUAGUC